AGAGUUUGAUCCUGGCUCAGGACGAACGCUGGCGGCGUGCUUAACACAUGCAAGUCGAGCGGAAAGGCCCUUCGGGGUACUCGAGCGGCGAACGGGUGAGUAACACGUGAGUAACCUGCCCCAGACUUUGGGAUAACCCUCGGAAACGGGGGCUAAUACCGAAUAUGACUUCUGCCCGCAUGGGUGGUGGUGGAAAGUUUUUCGGUUUGGGAUGGACUCGCGGCCUAUCAGCUUGUUGGUGGGGUAAUGGCCUACCAAGGCGGCGACGGGUAGCCGGCCUGAGAGGGCGACCGGCCACACUGGGACUGAGACACGGCCCAGACUCCUACGGGAGGCAGCAGUGGGGAAUAUUGCACAAUGGGCGGAAGCCUGAUGCAGCGACGCCGCGUGAGGGAUGACGGCCUUCGGGUUGUAAACCUCUUUCAGCAGGGACGAAGCGCAAGUGACGGUACCUGCAGAAGAAGCGCCGGCCAACUACGUGCCAGCAGCCGCGGUAAGACGUAGGGCGCGAGCGUUGUCCGGAUUUAUUGGGCGUAAAGAGCUCGUAGGCGGCUUGUCGCGUCGACUGUGAAAACUCAGGGCUCAACUCCGAGCUUGCAGUCGAUACGGGCAGGCUAGAGUUCGGUAGGGGAGACUGGAAUUCCUGGUGUAGCGGUGAAAUGCGCAGAUAUCAGGAGGAACACCGGUGGCGAAGGCGGGUCUCUGGGCCGAUACUGACGCUGAGGAGCGAAAGCGUGGGGAGCGAACAGGAUUAGAUACCCUGGUAGUCC
rnacentral:rRNA from 1 species